UACGGGGGGAGCAAGCGUUGUUCGGAUUUACUGGGCGUAAAGGGCGCGUAGGCGGUCGUGACAAGUCACUUGUGAAAUCUCCGGGCUUAACUCGGAACGGUCAAGUGAUACUGUCGGACUAGAGUACAGAAGGGGCAACUGGAAUUCUCGGUGUAGCGGUGAAAUGCGUAGAUAUUAGGAGGAACACCGGUGGCGAAGGCGCUGCUCUGGGCCGAAACUGACGCUGAGGAGCGAAAGCGUGGGUAGCAAACAGG
rnacentral:rRNA from 1 species